rnacentral:rRNA from 1 species
AGAGGUUACUGCUAUCGGUGUUCGCCUAAGCCAUGCGAGUCAUAUGUUCUUCGUGAACAUGGCGUACUGCUCAGUAACACGUGGAUAACCUGCCCUUGGGUCUGGGAUAACCCCGGGAAACUGGGGAUAAUACCGGAUAACGCAUAUAUGCUGGAAUGCUUUAUGCGUAAAAUGGAUUCGUCUGCCCAAGGAUGGGUCUGCGGCCUAUCAGGUAGUAGUGGGUGUAAUGUACCUACUAGCCUACAACGGGUACGGGUUGUGAGAGCAAGAGCCCGGAGAUGGAUUCUGAGACAUGAAUCCAGGCCCUACGGGGCGCAGCAGGCGCGAAAACUUUACAAUGCGGGAAACCGUGAUAAGGGGACACCGAGUGCCAGCAUCAUAUGCUGGCUGUCCAGAUGUG